AGUCAGAUAUAGCCUCAGCAUCCAACCUGAAUAAACCUCACCUGAAUAAACCUCACAGCCAUAAUCCAGCUGUAAAUAUGACAGGGCAAAAAUAGUAGGUGCAGAUGCUGCUUACACAUUAUGAGCCAGGCUCCUAAAAGGGCACGGCAUGAAGAUAGAUUAUCUUCUCCAGAAGAAGCUGGGUGCAGCCGUCACCGGGACAUUAGAGAAUUUCCUGCGGGAAUUAACGGACCGAGAAGGAGACAAAGAGGAGAAAAGUGCAGAAUGAGAACUGCGCUCAUAACAUACAGGAAGACUCAAAGCUUUUCAAGAUGCUAAAAAUUCAACACAACGCUUGAGAGUUAAGGUCCUGAAACUGGUGUUUAAAAGUAGUUUGCAGUCUUGUUUCCACAAAACAACUGCUACAAAAUGGAUGAAAUAAAAUAAGCUACAUCCACAUGCUUUCAGGGAGUAGGCAAUGAUGUUUGGAGCAUGCUGGCAGCUGCUGUGAGUCAACUCUGAGGUGCACAGCUCUCUCCACCCAGUGAGAGGAAGCCCAGAUUGGACCAGCAAAGUGGUGUGAACCUUCCUGUUUGUGUCAAACUGUACUGUCAGUGCAUAUAUUGACUUCACCGAAGUAGUUUGGGCUUUCCACCACUGAUGAGACCUUGGUGUCCUAUGAGUUUUUUGCAAUUGAAUUUCUAGAUGUAUUUCAGCUCUGGUAAUGAUUGUACAGCGUCGUGUCCAUGAACUUCCAGUGUUCGCAUUAAAAUCUGACAGAACAUCAGAGUGCCAGAAGCUUCUCAUGUUGUGGCUCUGGAGAUAUGUGAUUUCUUCAUUAAAUGGGGAGCCAGCUGAUAACGAGUGAUAAAUAGGAUGAGAAGAGGACUUGGAAACAUAAAGGUCUGAGUAACACAGUGUCCAAAACGGAGCUAAAAGAAAACAGGCUACAGAAGAAAGAUAAAGAAGGCAGGUUGGUUUUGAUUCUGAAGAUAGAACCAUUCAGAUGCCUAAACAACGUAAGAUGAGCAAAGCAAAGCAACGGGAAGAAUUAAAGAACUAAACAAGCACAAAAUGAGAUCAUUACGGACACAAGACAACACACAGCUGCACUAAGUAGUAAAGGUCCCCUCUAACCCCAUACCCUUAUGCCAGCAGAAUACAAAACCAGUUACCAAGGCAGGAUUCUACAAGCAGGUUAAAAGAGUUCCUCACUGACCCCGUCCCACCCACAUCCUCUCUGAUCCUUCAAAAGUCCAUGGAGUCACACAGUCUAGAAGAGUAUGAAUCAUAGGAUGACAUGGGUUGGAACGGACCUCAAGGAUCAUUGAGUUCCAACCCCCCUGCUGCAGGCAGGGCUGCCAACCACUAGAUCAAGUACUGGAUCAGACUGCCCAGAGCCCCAACCAACCUGGCCUUGAAUACCUCCAGGGAUGAGACAUCCACAACCUCUCUGGGCAGCCUUUUCCAUUCUCUCAGUAAAAAACUGCCCUGGCAUCUCAUCUAAAUCUCCCUUCCUUUAGUCUAAAACCAUUCCCCCAUCCUGUUGCUAUCUUUUAUACGAAGUUGUUCCCUCCUGUUUAUAAACUCCCUUUAAAUACUGAAAGGCCAGUUUCAAUUCAGACACACAGGUGAUUGAUUAGCACUUCAAAUUAAGCAACAAAUCCUACAGAACUUUUUCAAAUGUUAAAGAGCAUAGUAUGUGCUUAAGAGUGUAAUGCAUGACUUUUUAAGCUGCCCAGUAAUAAAAACAGAAUCAUUACAGCAA